CUGGCUCAGAACGAACGCUGGCGGCGUGGAUAAGACAUGCAAGUCGAACGGGAUAUUUCUGGU
rnacentral:rRNA from 1 species